UGGCCUCGACAAUCUUGGAGAUUGAGA
rnacentral:piRNA from 1 species